GAGAUGCUUUAAGCCUCAA
rnacentral:snRNA from 1 species